rnacentral:rRNA from 1 species
CCCUUAGAUGUUCUGGGCCGCACGCGCGCUACACUGAUGCAUUCAACGAGUCUAAAACCUGCUCUGAUAGGGGUGGGUAAUCUUUUGAAUGUGCAUCGUGAUUGGGAUAGAUGAUUGCAAUUUUUCGUCUUCAACGAGGAAUGCCUAGUAAACGCAAGUCAUCAGCUUGCAUUGAUUACGUCCCUGCCCUUUGUACACACCGCCCGUCGCUCCUACCGAUUGAAUGGUCCGGUGAAAUCUCCGGACUGGCGUGAGUCGGAGCAAUCUGACAAACACCGGAAAGUUGAUUAAACCUUACCAUUUAGAGGAAGGUGAAGUCGUAACA